rnacentral:rRNA from 1 species
CAUUAAAGAAUACAUGGUCUUCGGGUCCUAUUCUCACCCUUUGUUUACCAAAACUCUUGUUGCCUUGGCGCAUUCGUGCGCCAAAGGAAUCAAACCCUUGAAUCUUUGCUGUCUGAGUACUAUAUAAUAGUUAAAACUUUCAACAACGGAUCUCUUGGUUCUGGCAUCGAUGAAGAACGCAGCGAAAUGCGAUAAGUAAUGUGAAUUGCAGAAUUCAGUGAAUCAUCGAAUCUUUGAACGCACAUUGCGCCUCCUGGUAUUCCGGGAGGCAUGCCUGUUCGAGCGUCAUUACAACCCUCAAGCUCUGCUUGGUAUUGGGCUCGCCUCCUUUGGCCUGCCUCAAAAUCAGUGGCGGCACAGUCCGAUCCUCAAGCGCAGUAAUACACGACGCUUGCUGGUGAAGGUUGCUGCUCCAGAAACCCCCCACAAACUAAAGGUUGACCUCGGAUCAGGUAGGGAUACCCGCUGAACUUAAGCAUAUCAAUAAGCGGAGGA